CAAUCACCCCGUGGAUGCAUAUGUCAAAAAUUAUGUGAGCAAUUCAGAUUAAAAUACAGUGUUACUAAGAAAUAUAUACAUACAACCAAAGUAUUCAUAAUAGUGUACAUAUGUAUCGCAAUUUCAUAAAGCUUCGAAUAUUAUUGAUAGUGGUGUUGAUCUUAAUGAGUCCUGUGCAAUCAGAGUCCUUGUUCGAAUGGAAAAAUACAACAAAUCCUGUGAUCAGUACUCUACGUCAAAGGAUUGCCCUGGAGUGGAAAUAUGAAUCUCAACAACCUGUCACCAGCAUGUUUUUUACACGUUUUAGGAACAGCUCGGAUAU